GUUGCUAAAAGUCGUUUCCAAACUCGAUAAAACGAAAAUGGCCGUUGAAAAGUUACGUUUUUUUUUACAAAAAUUUAUAUCAGUUUUACCCUAAAAUAUCAGCUGCUUCUUCCCCAGUCAAACUUUAUACUUCAUUCCUCAUUCAUUUUUUGAAGCUGUCGGGAAAAGUCUUUCUAGAAGUCGGAAAGAUGUUGACGAAGAAGCAUGGCAUUGCCGAAAUUUUUGUUGUACAUGCUCUUUGAAAAAGUCGUUCAAGAAGUCAGAAAAGACGUUAACGAAAUGACGACCGUUACAGAAUGGCAUUGCGGAAAUUUUCGUUGCACAAGGUCGGGUUUCUCUUGGCGAAUUGUUGCCUCCAAUAUUAACUGCUUUUUUGUCCAUCGUUUGUAUCUUUACUGUUUACUGAAAUAACUGCCGAAAGUUUGUGUAAGAACAUGUUACAUGUUACAUGUUCGUUCGCUGAAUCCCGGCUAUCGGGCUCAUAU